rnacentral:rRNA from 1 species
AUUGAACGCUGGCGGCAUGCCUAACACAUGCCAGUCGAACGGAAAAGGGCAUCUGGGUGCUGACGUGAGGGGAAGAGGGGUGAAAUAUACCUGAAAGUGUGCCUGCUAGGGGGAUAACGCGGCGAAAAAUUUGCUCUAAUACCACAUGCUCCCCGGAUGAAAGCAGGGGAGAGCUAGGCCUCUCGCGCACUGAGAGGACCAUGGCUGGUUAGAUAGUUGGUGGGAUAAAAGCGUACAAAGAGGACGAUCUGUAGCUGGUCUGAGAGGAUGAUCAGCCACACUGGAACUGAGACACGGCCCAGACUCCUACGGGAGGCAGCAGUGGGGAAUUUUGGACAAUGGGCGAAAGCCUGAUCCAGCCAUGCCGCGUGUAGGAUGAAGGUCUUCGGGUUGUAAAGUACUUUUAUUCGGGAGGAAGGGCAGUCUGUUAAUACAUUAGUGUCAUGACGUUACCAAAAGAAUAAGCACCGGCUAACUACGUG